AUGACCCGCCGCUGCCUGUGGUCGCUGUGCCUGCUGCUGGCGCUGCUGCUGCCGCCCGGAGUUCUGUCUCAGGGCUUUGACCUGGCCGACGCUCUGGAUGAGGUUAAUCCAACGACCCCUACCCCAAAGCCAGCAGCACCAGGUGGAGGAAAAGGCGGAGGAUUUAAUCUGGAGGACUCCCUUGACCUCACCACCAAAGCCCCGCCCAAGGUCACGCCAAAAGCCCCCGUGACUACCCCAGUGAAGCCUAAACCCAAACCAGGUGGAUUCUCUGACAACGAUCUGUUUGAUGUCAGCAAAGACGAAAACUACCAUCCUGACAAAGGCAAAGGUAAUUCUGCACCUCUUCAGAAACCUGCGGUAAAGCCCAGGUAGAACCUGGUGGCUGAGGGA
ensembl:lncRNA